rfam:Dipodomys ordii contig_47186, whole genome shotgun sequence.
GGGCAAGUGGCUCAGUGGUAGAGUGUUUGCCUAGCAUGCAUGAAGUCCUGGGUUCGAUUCCUCAGUAACCUCA